rnacentral:ribozyme from 17 species
UUGUUUUAUGUUUUUGUUUUUUGUGUCUUUCAAUCGGUGUUAUUUUGAUUACCAAUCCGGCAAACAAGGGGAAAUCGUGGCUUAGCUGCUGAAAUUAAAAA